UACGAAGGGGGCUAGCGUUGCUCGGAAUCACUGGGCGUAAAGCGCACGUAGGCGGAUUGCUAAGUCAGGGGUGAAAUCCUGGAGCUCAACUCCAGAACUGCCUUUGAUACUGGCGAUCUCGAGUCCGGGAGAGGUGAGUGGAACUGCGAGUGUAGAGGUGAAAUUCGUAGAUAUUCGGAAGAACACCAGUGGCGAAGGCGGCUCACUGGACCGGUAUUGACGCUGAGGUGCGAAAGCGUGGGGAGCAAACAGG
rnacentral:rRNA from 1 species